AUUGAACGCUGGCGGCAGGCCUAACACAUGCAAGUCGAGCGGUAGCACAGGGAGCUUGCUCCUGGGUGACGAGCGGCGGACGGGUGAGUAAUGUCUGGGAAACUGCCUGAUGGAGGGGGAUAACUACUGGAAACGGUAGCUAAUACCGCAUAACGUCGCAAGACCAAAGAGGGGGACCUUCGGGCCUCUUGCCAUCAGAUGUGCCCAGAUGGGAUUAGCUAGUAGGUGGGGUAACGGCUCACCUAGGCGACGAUCCCUAGCUGGUCUGAGAGGAUGACCAGCCACACUGGAACUGAGACACGGUCCAGACUUCUACGGGAGGCAGCAGUGGGGAAUAUUGCACAAUGGGCGCAAGCCUGAUGCAGCCAUGCCGCGUGUAUGAAGAAGGCCUUCGGGUUGUAAAGUACUUUCAGCGGGGAGGAAGGCGAUAAGGUUAAUAACCUUGUCGAUUGACGUUACCCGCAGAAGAAGCACCGGCUAACUCCGUGCCAGCAGCCGCGGUAA
rnacentral:rRNA from 1 species